rnacentral:rRNA from 1 species
CCUACGGGUGGCAGCAGUGGGGAAUAUUGGACAAUGGGCGAAAGCCUGAUCCAGCCAUGCCGCGUGUGUGAAGAAGGCCUUCGGGUUGUAAAGCACUUUCAGUGGGGAAGAAAGCCUUGGGGCUAAUACCCUCGGGGAAGGACAUCACCCACAGAAGAAGCACCGGCUAACUCCGUGCCAGCAGCCGCGGUAAUACGGAGGGUGCGAGCGUUAAUCGGAAUUACUGGGCGUAAAGCGCGCGUAGGCGGUCUGAUAAGCCGGUUGUGAAAGCCCCGGGCUCAACCUGGGAACGGCAUCCGGAACUGUCAGGCUAGAGUGCAGGAGAGGAAGGUAGAAUUCCCGGUGUAGCGGUGAAAUGCGUAGAGAUCGGGAGGAAUACCAGUGGCGAAGGCGGCCUUCUGGACUGACACUGACGCUGAGGUGCGAAAGCGUGGGUAGCAAACAGGAUUAGAUACCCCAGUAGUC